rnacentral:rRNA from 1 species
AGGAUGCGAGCGUUAUCCGGAUUUAUUGGGUUUAAAGGGUGCGUAGGCGGCAUUAUAAGUUAGUGGUAAAAUAUUGGGGCUUCACCUCACUACGCCAUUAAUACUGUAGAGCUAGAGAACAGGCGAGGUAGGCGGAAUAAGUUAAGUAGCGGUGAAAUGCAUAGAUAUAACUUAGAACACCGAUAGCGAAGGCAGCUUACCAGACUGAGUCUGACGCUGAUGCACGAGAGCAUGGGUAGCGAACAGGAUUAGAUACCCUGGUAGUCCAUGCCGUAAACGAUGCUCACUGGCCUUAGGCGAUAUAUGGUCUGAGGUUAAGCGAAAGUAUUAAGUGAGCCACCUGGGGAGUACGUCGGCAACGAUG